rnacentral:rRNA from 1 species
UACGUAGGGGGCAAGCGUUGUCCGGAAUCAUUGGGCGUAAAGCGCGUGUAGGCGGUCCGGUAAGUCCGCUGUGAAAGUCGAGGGCUCAACCCUCGAAUGCCGGUGGAUACUGUCGGGCUUGAGUACGGGAGAGGCGAGUGGAAUUCCUGGUGUAGCGGUGAAAUGCGCAGAUAUCAGGAGGAACACCGAUUGCGAAGGCAGCUCGCUGGAACGUUACUGACGCUGAGACGCGAAAGCGUGGGGAGCGAACAGG